rnacentral:rRNA from 1 species
AUCUGAUCAAGUGACUAAGGGCGCACGGGGGAUGUCUUGGCGCCAGAAGGCGAAGAAGGGCGUGGAAGGCUGCGAAAAGCCUGGGGGAGCCGUCAAACAGGCAUUGAUCCCGGGAUUCCCGAAUUAGUAUGUCGUAAAUCCAUAGCGGCAUACGGCGAACGUGGAGAACUGAAACAUCUAAGUAUCCACAGGAAGAGAAAGAAAACUCGAUUCCCUAAGUAGUGGCGAGCGAAAGGGGAACAGCCUAAACCGUGUUCUACGGAAUGCGGGGUCGUGGGGCCGAACACAGUGAAGUCAAAAAUCUAGAACCUAGAGGAACCGGUUGGAACGCCGGACCAGAGUGGGUGAGAGUCCCGUACUCGAAAGGUUGUAGACUUCCGUUCGGUACCCGAGUAAGUCCGGGCACGUGAAACCUGGACCGAAUCUGGGAGGACCAUCUCCCAAGGCUAAACACUCACUGGCGACCGAUAGUGAACAAGUAGCGCGAGCGAAAGAUGAAAAGAACCCCGCAAGGGGAGGGAAAGACCCUGAAACCGUGUGCCUACAAGCAGUCGGAGCUCCGCAAGGAGUGACGGCGUGCCUAUUGAAUAAUGAUCCGGCGAGUUAUCGUCGUUGGCCGGCUAAGACCUUCCGGGUCGGAGCCAUAGGGAAACCGAGUCUGAAUAGGGCGACUAAUGGUCAGCGGGGAUAGACGCGAAACCUGGUGAACUACCCAUGGGCAGGUUGAAGCGCGGGUAAAACUGCGUGGAGGACCGAACUCACUAAUGUUGAAAAAUUAGGGGAUGACCUGUGGGGAGGAGUCAAAGUCUGAUCAAACCAGGAGAUAGCUCGUUCUCUCCGAAAUAACUUUAGGGUUAGCCUCAGGCCACUAUGCGAUGGGGGUAGAGAGACUGAAUUGGAUUGGGGGACUACCCGUCUACCCGUCCUAACCAAACUCCGAAUACCAUCGUAUGUAUCCUGGGAGAUAGUCUCUGAGGGAGAAGCUUCAGAGUCGAGAGGGAAACAACCCAGAUCGUCUGCUAAGGUCCCAGAAUUCUGCUCAGUCACUAAGGAUGUUCGAUUGCGAUGACAGCCGGGAUGUUGGCUUAGAAGCAGCCAUCAUUUAAAAAGUGCGUAAUAGCUUACCGGUCGAGCAGUCGUGCACCGACAAUGAACGGGAGUAAGCAGAAUACCGAAGCAGCGGGAUGCGUAAGCAUCGGUAGGAGAGCGUUCUACACCAGCAAGUCAAACCGUAAGGGAUGAUAUCGGGGUGUAGAAGUGAUUAUGCCGGAAUGAGUAACGAUUAUGCAGGUGAGAAACCUGCACGCCGCAAGCCUAAGGUUUCCUGGGGAAGGUCAAUCCGCCCAGGGUUAGCCGGUCCCUUAGUCAAGGCCGAAAGGCGUAGACGAUGGACAGCAGGUUAAUAUUCCUGCGCUGCGUACGGAGGACGUUGUGUGGAUGGGGAGCAGACUGCUAGACAUGUCUGUACCGCAAGGUCGAGUCCCUGGUUGAUGAAGUUUCUUGAAGCACAACCAAGAAAAGCCCGUACAACAAUGCAACCGUACUAAAACCAACACAGGUAGGCGAGUCGAGUAGACUAAGGCGCUCGGGAGAACGGUGGUUAAGGAACUCUGCAAAUUUUCCCCGUAACUUCGGGAUAAGGGGAGCCAUCUUCGGAUGGCGGCACGAAUCGGCUCUAGCGACUGUUUAUCAAAAACACAGGUCUGUGCGAACACGUAAGUGGAAGUAUACAGACUGACGCCUGCUCGGUGCCGGUAAGUUAAGGAAGAGGGUGGGACGCAAGUCGAAGCCCGCAACCAAAGCUCCGGUAAACGGCGGCCCUAACUAUGAGGGUCCUAAGGUAGCGAAGUUCCUUGUCGGGUAAGUUCCGACCUGCAUGAAUGGCGUAACGACUGGAGCACUGUCUCUACCACCGACCCGGUGAAGUUGAAUCCGUGGUGAAGAUGCCACGUUCCCGCAGUGUGACGGAAAGACCCCAUGAACCUUUACUGUAUGCUGGUAUUGGUAUUAGACAUGUCUUGUGUAGGAUAGGUGGGAGGCUGCGAAGCUGGAACGCAAGUUCUGGUGGAGCCAACGUUGAAAUACCACCCUGGACCUGUUUGAUAUCUAACCCCGAUCCCAUCAGCUGGGCGGUGGACAGUGCCAGUUGGGCAGUUUGACUGGGGCGGUCUCCUCCAAAAAGGUAACGGAGGAGCUCAAAGGUACCCUCAGCCUGGUUGGCAAUCAGGCGAAGAGCGUAAGGGUAGAAGGGUGCUUGACUGCAAGACCAACGAGUCGCGCAGAAACGAAAGUUGGACCUAGUGAUCCGGCGAUUCCGAAUGGAAGGGUCGUCGCUCAACGGAUAAAAGGUACUCUGGGGAUAACAGGCUGAUCCCACCCGAGCGUCCAUAGCGGCGGUGGGGUUUGGCACCUCGAUGUCGGCUCAUCACAUCCUGGGGGUGGAGAAGCUCCCAAGGGUUCGGCUGUUCGCCGAUUAAAGUGGUACGUGAGCUGGGUUCAGACCGUCGUGAGACAGGUCGGUCCCUAUCUACUGUGGGCGUCCGAGGCUUGAGGGAGUUUCUCCUUAGUACGAGAGGAUUUGGAGGGACGGUCCGAUGGUGUUCCUGUUGUCACGCUCGUGGCACCGCAGGUUAGCUACGACCGGUUAGGAUAAGUGCUGAAAGCAUCUAAGCACGAAGCCAGUCCCAAGAUAAGGCCUCGUUGAGUCCCCUGGAAGACGACCAGGUUGAUAGGCCGGGUGUGCAAGGCGGGUAACCGUCUCAGCUGACCGGUACUAACGGACAAACACUUGAUCU